AGCCUACGUGUGCGGUUGCUCGGUGGGCAAAUGCUCGGAGCUGCCUUUGAAAACUGGAGCACGAGAGCAGCACAGUCAUGAAGCAGGACUGGGCUGCCACCUCCCGCGGGCCUGCCUGGAGGGAGGGCAAGGACACCAGGGCCACCAGAUGAUCCCGCCGCGGCCCGGGGCUCAGGAAACUAUGCAUUCCUUAAUGCCACACACUGGCCUAAGAACACCGUGUGUUCGUUAAGGAGAGGUAUGAAAACCAAGGACCUGGUCAGCCAACUAGAACCCUGGAAUCGUCCUUUUCAAGACCUGGUGCUCCAACAUUCCUUGGCUUAACAGAGAGAAGCACCUGGGAAAAUGUGGGCAAGGUAAUACAAAUGACAUUCCCUUCCCACCCAGGAUUGCAACUAACCCUUGAAAUUGAAAGGUUGAUUUUAGGCUUUUUGCUGUGUUCAGUGAAUCAUUUUACACGGAUAUGCUGAUGCCCGUGGGAAAUCCUCUUCCAUUCAGAAAUCUCAGGGGAAGCAGUCUUCUGGGAUAGAGGUAGACUAUUCCUCCCAGUGUAGCUGGUGCCCAAGCAAGUCUGGAGGUUACACUUCUGAACUAUCUGGAAGCUGAUCACCUAGGUUGCUGACCAGCCGGUUCUCUGGUGAUUCCUUUUUCUCUCUGUCCGCCUCUAAACCAUUCCUUUUCUGCUCAGCCAUUCCGCAGGAAAACCAGCGUGGUCUGGGGUGGAGGUUAGGGUCAAAAUAGUCAAGUCUCCUAUCUAACUGAGGCUUCCUAAAAGCUUUCUGGAAACUAAGUGAAGACAUGGUCAUUACAUCUAUUAUUUGACUUGCAAUGGAGGCCAGCAGUGUGGCGUGCGUGGUGCCGCUAGGAGCAGACCUGGAUUUAAGCAUCACCCUUAUGUGACUGUGAGCCACUUACCUGAGACUUUUGAAUCUGUUAUCAAAUUGAUAAAAUGGUGAUAGGAAGAUUGUCUCAAGGAUGAAAUGAGAACACGCACAUAGGAGUUCCUGCAGCAGCACAGUGGGUUAAGAAUCUGGCUGCAGUGGCUCAGGUCGCUGAAGAGGCCUGGGUUUGAUCCCCAGCCCAUUGUGGUGGGUUAGAGGCAUGCUGUGGCGUAGGUUGCAGCUGUGGCUCGAAUUCGUUCUCUGGCCCAGGAACUUCCAUGUGCCUUGGACGUGGCCAUAAAAUUUUCAAAAUGGAAAAAAAAAAAAGUGCACGUAAAAUAACUUGUGCUCAAAAGUACGAAGUUAAUUCUUUAUGUGUUGAGAUCAGUAAUCUGUUGUCUGUGUCACAUGGAAAACUAACUAUCACACAAAUAAGAAGGCACCGGGCAGCCAGUCAAUCCAAAGAGGGCCCUUUGCAUUUACAGGAGAAAGGGUGUCAGUUAAGCAAAACAACAAAUGUUGCCUUAAAACAUUUUGAUAAGUGAUAAGAGGAUUUACCUAGAAGUCUUUAAAACUAGGUAGAUCGUCAUAUCAUUAUAACAUUUUAAAGUAAUGAUCUCUUGGGAGUUCCCGUCGUGGUACAGUGGUUAACGAAUCAGACCAGGAACCACGAGGGUGCAGGUUCGAUCCCUGACCUUGCUCAGUGGGUUAAGGAUCUGGCAUUGCCAUGAACGUGGUGUAGGUUCGAAUCCCACGUUGCUGUGGCUGUCACGUAGGCCAGCAGCUGCAGCUCCAAUUAGACCCCUAGCCUGGGAACCUCCAUAUGUCUCGGGAGCGGCCCUAGGGAAAAAAAAAAAAAAAAAAAAGGGGAAAAAAAAAAAAAAAAAAAAAAAAAGGUUAAAAAAUAAAUAAAGUAAUGAUCUCUUAAAAAAUAUCAAUAAUAAUAACCUAGUCCUAGGAUUCCCACACUUUGAGGCUUCAACCAAACCAAGGUGUGCGUUCAAACCAGAGCAAGUUACAUUUCUUUGUGAUUUCUCAAGUUAUUCAGUGUGACUAUCAAUGUCUUAAUGAACAAUGAAACAAAAAUCAUCUCUUCUCAUUUUUUCUACCUACUCAGCCAGUUUUACUAAACUGAGACAAAAAAAAAGGAAGGAAGGAAAGGGGGGAGAGAGAGAGAAAGAAAAAGGGAGGGAGGAAGGGAGGAAGAGAGGAAGAGAGAGAGCGAGAAAGAGAGAAAG
rnacentral:lncRNA from 1 species